rfam:Streptomyces collinus Tu 365, complete genome.
GCGGAGGCUCUCAAGUGCCGGCCCCGGACGAGAUGUGCGCCGUACCCGGUCCGCUAAGACGACGCACU